rnacentral:rRNA from 1 species
GAUAAACGCUGGCGGCGUGCUUAACACAUGCAAGUCGAACGAAGUUUUUCCUUCGGGAGAAACUUAGUGGCGGACGGGUGAGUAACGCGUGGGUAACCUGCCCUGUACAGGGGGACAACAGCUGGAAACGGCUGCUAAUACCGCAUAAGCACUUAGCACUGCAUGGUGCAUAGGGAAAAGGAGCAAUCCGGUACAGGAUGGACCCGCGUCUGAUUAGCCAGUUGGCAGGGUAACGGCCUACCAAAGCGACGAUCAGUAGCCGAUCUGAGAGGAUGUACGGCCACAUUGGGACUGAGACACGGCCCAGACUCCUACGGGUAGCAGCAGUGGGGAAUAUUGCACAAUGGAGGAAACUCUGAUGCAGCGACGCCGCGUGAGUGAAGAAGUAUUUCGGUAUGUAAAGCUCUAUCAGCAGGGAAGAAAAUGACGGUACCUGACUAAGAAGCACCGGCUAAAUACGUG